rnacentral:tRNA from 1 species
GGGCGCAUAGCUCAGCGGUAGAGCGCUGCCCUUACAAGGCAGAUGUCGCAGGUUCGAACCCUGCUGCGCCCA